AAACAUUCUCUGGGGGCAUACGGUUUUAAAACGUGAUCAAACUACGAAAUUUAACAUUAGAUACAGAUACAUAGAUUUUUUAGUAAUGAUUUCCUUCCUAAGCAAAUUGUUAAUAUUCUGGACAAUACUAACAAUGACUUUGGGUGGCUCACAGUCAUCUGUAACUCCAGUUCUAGGAAAUCUGAUGCCCUCUUCUGGCCUCUGUGGGUUGCUAUGGGAUUUCUUUUUCAGGACUUAAUAAAUAAAUAAUAAUAAAUUAUUAUUAUUAUUAUAUGCAUUAGGCCUUUUACACAAUCUUUCCUGACUUUUACAAACCAGAUACAGCUGCAUGAUGGUAUUAGCACUUGAGCUUCCUUCCUUUGGCCACACCUCUCUAUUACUAAAUUUAAAUUUAUAAAUUUAUAUUAAAGUCAAAAGUAGUGUCACUUCUUUUUUUUUUUUUUAGGAUUUAUUGGAUUCUCAGAAUCAAACUUUUUUCUUUUCUCUCUCUCUUUCUCUCUUCCUCUUUCUUUCUUUCUUUCUUUCUUUCUUUCUUUCUUUCUUUCUUUCUUUCUUUCUUUCUUUCUUCCUUUCAGCAGGUUCUACAUAGCCUUGGCUAUCCUGGAACUCACUAUACAGACCAGGCUGGCUUCAAACUCAUAGCAAUCCACCUGCCUCUGCCUCCUGAGUGCAGAGAUUGAAGAUGUGAGCCACCAUGUCUGGCUAACUUUAAUUUUAGAAGCUGUACCAUAGCAUGUCGUCCAAGAGACAGCAAGAAAAGAAAUAAGAAUCAGGGUCUCUGGGGUGGAGAGAGGUGUCCCUUUCAUCCACUCUGUCAGUCUUCAAAGAGACCAAUCAGGUUAGACUGUCUGUCCUUCCUGUCUCUCUAACCCACACAUCCUCAGGCAAGCCUCAGUGUAGACACAGAGAUCACACGCAGACACUGGCUUUAGUCCCCAGCUCCUCUGCCCUCACUCCUUCACUGGCUGGAGUUUAAAACAAUUGCCAACCUUGUCACUCUCCUAGUAACAGCCCGACCAUGAGCAUCUCUGAAGUUAUUUCUUUUACCUUAGUGAAAAGGGGGUUUCUUGCCUAAGACACUUGAAAAAAUUCAUAGUAAACAACCAAGAAAACCUGGGGCCAGUGCUAAGAGCAGGUGCUGCUCUUCCAGAGAACCUGGAUUCAGUUCCCAACACCUGCCUUAAAGUGGCCAGCAUGGUCCUGAAAUUCCAGUUCCAGGGGAUCUGUCGCCCUCUUCUGGUGUACUUGGGUACUGCAUGCACCUGGUCCAAAUACAAAGACUCAAGAUGUGUCCCUCCUGUCCCUGUCCCUGUCCCCUUGCACUCCUCUCUCUCCCUCCAUAUCUCUCUCUCUCUCUCUCUCUCUCUCUCUGUCUCUCUCUCUCUCUCUCAUAAGUAAAUAUAUUUUUACAACACCUCAAAAAUUCAUGUACUAGAUUCAGAAAAGAGGCUCACUUAUAUGAAUGAAUGGAUUUUUUGUUAUGUUUUCAUUUUUGUUUUUUGUUUUACAUUUCCAUUCAGGUUAAAAGUGCAGUGAGAAAGGCUGCUUUCUUUGUUUCUAAUGCUCAAGGCAAUAAUUUCUUUCCUAGAAAACUAUCGCCAUGCACUUGGAAUGGGAUUGUCUACACUAAAUGAAUAAGGAGAAACGGAGAACAGCUAGGGAGGAUACAAUGCACCAGAAGUAAACAUAUAUGUUGGCAGAAAAGUGGGGAGACGGGAGGGAGCACUGUGAGCCUGCAGGUGACAGCACUCACAGAGAUGGUGAGCCAGGAGCUGCACCUGAGUUCUUGUCACCCUCUUGUGUGCAUGGGAAGGGAUAGAGAUGAGAGCAAGCCAUGAAUGAAGAUGGCGUGGGGAAAUCUGUGGGAGUGGUACUCUGGGGACCCAGCAGCCCUGGGUCCUCGAGGAACCCAAGUGAAGUAGAAUCCAAUGGAGAGAGGCAGAUGAACAGCCCGGAUCAGGCUGACAGAUGUUUUAGAUGUUUCUGUCCCAGUUUUUAUUUUUUCCCUCUAGAGAAUGUGUACUAAUGAAGCAGUAAGAGGGCUGAAGAUCUCUGGCUCUGUGAGUUAGGACCAGGGUUCAAUUUCCCACACCCCACAUGGCAGCUCACAACUGGCUGUAACUCCAGUUCUGAGGCAUUAACUUCCUCCUCUUGCCUCUGCAAGCACCAGGCACACACAUCCUGACCCACUAAGCAACACCCGGUCUCCCCGCUAACUGCACUCUGGACUUUUCCAGCAGCAGCUCCUGGGCUUUUGAGUGUUUCGGAGGACCGAUGCGUGUGGAGCCGCACGGGUGGAGAAGCAGACAGCUGUGAGGCACACCUGGCCAGAUGUGCGCCAGCUGGCGGGAGUGGGCAUGGCUUAGCUGCUCCUCCAUGCGAUGACUGCUUGGAUGUUGAGUAGUAGAUUGACAGCUGGAGCCUGUGCACUUGUACCCACAGCAAGCUCUCCCCUGGAGGAAGAUGUGAGGAGCACACCUAGGACGGCCUCAGCAUCUACUGUGUGGUCCAUUUUCAGGUUUUUCCCCUCUGUGUUUUUUGUUUUGUUUUGUUUUGUUUGCUUGUUUGCCCAUCCCACUGGUCCUUGGGAAGUGGCAACCUCAACCGUGAGUUAAUGCCAGGGUUUACACAUGCUAGGCAAGCUCUCUCCCAACCGAGCCUUAUCCGCCACCCAUAACAAGAGGAAAAUCAAACAGCACAAACUAAUCGUUCUGUCUUUCCUCUCAGUCCUCCCUGCUUUGCAAGAUCCUGUGGUCUGGGCUUCUGUUUUUCUGAUGAUGUUGGUCCGUGUAGCCCCGUGUAGAUCUAAGUAAGUGGCUUUGGAAGGUUCAUAUCUCUUUUAGGACCAUGUGUUGCAAUCCCUAAUCUGUGGCAGUACUGAGAAAUGACGUAAUCUUUAGGCCAUGGGACCUAGCAGAAGGAAGUUAGAUCAUUGGCACCUGCCUAUGAAAGGUGUGCCCUUCCCCCAGCCUUGAGUUGGCCUAACAAGUCUCCAAGGCUGGAGCCUUUCUGUCUUCCCGCCUGAGCCUUGAGGAGCUGGCCGCCCACUGAGCUUACUUUGCAGCUCAAUCCGGCUGAAGCAAGCAACAGAACCCAGCCAAAACAAGGGGAUGUGUCCUUGGGUUUUCCUAUAUAUAUUCAGAGCUGAAUAUUAAAAUUUGAACCUUGAUC
rnacentral:lncRNA from 1 species